GCCAGGAAGGCUUGUGAGCGCAGUGGACCGGCGGGCGGUGUGCCUAGGAAUAAGGUGACGGGAAUGGAAGGGCCAGCGACGCACACGUAGGCCUGCCGCUGCUGCUACUUGUCUUUACUUCUCCGUUGAAAUCUGGUCCAACGACAAGCAACCACUGGUGUGCCCGAACCUUGCCUGUGUCUGCAGUGUUCGGACAUCAGCGAGAGAGAGGAGAAAGACUGUAUAGCUCACUUGGCGGAAGGAGGAGGCUGCUGCAAAACAGCCUCUUUGCAAAUAUUGGACGUACCAAGCGACAGAAUGUCUACGAUGCUCCUCCUAGAGAAUCGGGGGAAAGGAAUAAGACAAUUGUAUCAAGUAUCGUCUAUUUAAUGGAAAUUAUAAAAGAAAGACUUUUACGGCGCACAAAACUGUCGUGUGGUCAGCAGCGGUGUCUUCGGCCGGUUGUUUGGUGACUCCACAGCAUCCUCUAAAGAGAAUUGGCACGCCAGAAAUGCUCGUGAUUUUAUGUAAACUAGAUCUUCAGAAUCGUGACUAGUGUGUGAGAACUCACUGGCAUUUACUCGAGCCGCAUCAUGCCCCAGCAGUUGAUGUGCAGCCUUUGAGGACGAUCGGAAAGCGUCCAAGGUUAAAACGGCCCACGUUGCCCGAAUGGUCUGAUGGCGUCCACUCGAAUCACAACGGCGACCAUCGUGGUGGGUGAGGGAUAAAAGCUGAAACUCUGAAAAUAACGAAUGUGUUUUGCCUACCGUGUGGCGGCACCUCCACGAACCUUGGUGACACAGUAUCGACCAGCCAUCUUGCCAAGUUGACUCAAGAUUGUCGGGAACUGGUUGUGACUUAACUUUAAAUAUAUUCACGUUUCCCGAAAGAGAACCCUUCACAUAGCCUAAGUGAGCGAGUUCUUUUGACGAGUGAUUAGCCUGAGAUGUAAUACAAUGGCGGUGCGGCGUGCAGGUGGCGGUGGACAUUGAGUUCCACUACGCUUGGCGUCGGACUGUGGCCGGUUGUGGUGCUGAUGGUGGUGCUGGUGCUGACUUUAAUCUGCUCUGACUCCCAGGAUGGUUCUUCUCCUGACAACGCUGUUAGUGGGCGUGGCAGUGCUGGUAACCGGCGGCCUCUGCCUCUGCUACUACUUCUCCCUCAGAGCCAUGUGGCGGGGCGGUGGCCGUCAGCCCGUCGCCCACCCAGAGAUUACUUGAGAUAAAGCGGACAGGAUGUAUUUUGCCAACAUCCUCAGGUCUCCUUCUCUCCAGUGUGAUAGAAAAGUCAUAUUCAAUUUAUCUCCAUAUCGACUUUAAAGCUUUUAUCCAAGAUAGAAACUACACAGCCUUCGUCAGCGUAACAAUCUGCGGCGAGUAGAGACUGCCGGCAGGAACAGUGUCUCCGAAGCAAUCUGCCCUGCAUCCCUGUCUUUCUUAUCACCUUCCCGCAGCGAGGCCCAAGGCAAAGGAUAUACGCAACAGCCAAUGAUUGAAGGUCACUUUUCACCGCCACACUAAGGAAGGAACCCCCUGCUGGGCUCUGCACGUAAUGGCACAAACAUAUUUAGAUAAUGAAAUAAGAAAUGAAAUACCAGAGAGAUAAUCAAAACAAGAUGCGUGUUAUACAGAUGCCGAUGAAGCCCCUAAAAAUUAGAAAAGUUGCUUUGCUGUGACAGAAUUCAUUGUUUGCUUAACCAUGCUUGUUCCCUGUGGCAGCUUAAGCAAACUACAAUAUCGCAGCGAAAUUCGUGACGCAGCACUCAUUUACUACACAUACUGUACCUGGGAAAUACUGAGAGUCCAUGAUGAAGACUUCUAGGAGUCAUGUCUACGCCCAUCCUCAGUGCUGUGAUGAAUGAUUCUACGGGCCAUGAUGAAAGAGAAACAGGAGAAAAUAAAUACAUAACUAGACGUGAAGGCAGAGGCUACAGACCCCGAAGGCCGAAGAGUAAAAGCAUACUCCAUUGGAACGGUGUAUAGUGUAGUGAGGAGAAUACUCAGAGGCCUCUGUAAAAUGUGCUGAACUGUAGCCAGGAGGAAGGACGCUGCCUGAGUGAAUACCUGAGCUGAGGGCCAGAGCUGACAGUAUGACGGAGCACUAUUAGGAGUGGGUGAAUAUAUCUCUGAACACCUAUUUCGAACAAUUAACAUUGCCCAAGAAUAAUGAUAAUCUCUGACAAUACAAAUACUCUUCAUUAUAUAUAGUAAACAGAUAAGGGUUGGCGGAAAACGUGCUCGCGUCCUGUGAAAUGCGUGGAAGGGCAGUGUGAGAAAAGGAACGUUUUUAAAGAGAGCCUCAUCAACCCACCAGCAGAACGUUCUCCAUGCUUAUCCUGCGCAGCUUCAAACUCUACCAACCCUGCGGCGGCCGUGGUGGUGAUCGACAUACUCAUAUAACUCGUCCUCUUAAUGUCUAUGUUUGACUGCAUCGCUUUCCAAACACAAGCAAGGCGGGAACACGAAGACCAAACUACAACGCUGCUUGGAUCUGCGCUGCGUCAUCUUCCACUACUAUAUAUCGAAGGACUCAAUCAACAUUAUUCGAGGUUGACGGAGAGGUCCCGCCCCUCGCCACCUGACAGCAGCUCCGGGCAGACCUUGAAAGCCUCGGCAGCGUCCCUGGAUUGAUGCAUCUCAUAUGGACGACCAAGACACCAGGAGACUAAGAGACUAAGAGACUGAGAGAGAGAGACUAAGAGACUAAGAGAGAGAGAGAGAGAGAGAGGUGAAUGAGGACGAAGGGACAACAGAAAAGAAAGAUGCAGACAAAUAAAGACUAAGGAAAUUGAGAGCUACACCAGGUUGACUGCCCCUCGACAGUUUGUGCACAAACUGUCACGGCGGGAGAAUCGUCAUCUUUGUUUUGACUCCUCGGCUUGCCAAGACUGCAGGGCGGAGAGAAGAGAGCUAGUUUGAUGACAGGGUAAAAUAUUAAAGUAAUUAAAGUUAUAAACACACACACACACACACACACACACACACACACACGCACACAUAGUACUACUCGACUCAGAGUAAUAUAUUUUUAAUUAAAUCAACAACAAAAAAAUAACAUAAUAUUGAUUGUAUCCUUGACGGUGUAAAAUAAAACUUUAAUAUAUGUAUGAAGAAUACAAUCCUAUAUUUACACAUGCGUAUGUUUGAUGUGGGAACGGGCCACUCCCUUUCUUGUGCUGUUGUGUCAAUAAAUUUAAAUAUAUUUUUUUAUGACGAUUUCUCUUCAUUCUAAGACGGUGCCAGAUUUUAGGAGAAUAGUAAUAGAAUAGGAAGGGAAACUAGGAAGUAUGAUUACGCUACUUGAGUGUUUAGAAGUGGAAAACAAAGUGUAGAGAGGCGGCGAGGAGUGCAAGAUUGCCGUUGCAGUGCCAGAGUUGGUAAACAAACACGAAAGAACUACAUCAUCAGAGCACUUCGUACACAGAGAAUACUUUCACACAUCAUAGAGAAACGUUGAAUAAUGAUAAGUUAUCGCAGUACCGUAGAACAUCACACGAGACAGAAGGAAAAUAUGUUACAUUAAACUAUGAAUCACAUAUGGACACUAAAACGGGUAAAUCAUCAGGGACACGCCAAUUCUUGUCGACAAACCGACUCGGUCGGCGUCAUGCGAUAGCGUGGUCGGUCUGACGCAAGAAUUUUAGACGCUUUGGCCUAGCUGUCGCCACCC